GAGUUUGAUCAUGGCUCAGAACGUACGCUGGCGGCACGCCUAACACAUGCAGGUCGAACGAAGUAGCAAUACUUAGUGGCAGACGGGUGAGUAACAUGUAGGUAUCUGCCCUUUGGCCUGGAAUAACACGAGGAAACUUGUGCUAAUACCGGAUAAGUCUUUACGGAGAAAGCUUUAUGCACCAUUGGAUGAGCCUGCACUUGAUUAGUUUGUUGGUGGGGUAAUGGCCUACCAAGACUGUGAUCAAUAGCUGAUUUGAGAGGAUGAUCAGCCACAUUGGGACUGAGACACGGCCCAAACUCCUACGGGAGGCAGCAGUGGGGAAUCUUGCACAAUGGAGGAAACUCUGAUGCAGCGAUGCCGCGUGAGUGAAGAAGGCCCUUGGGUUGUAAAGCUCUUUCGUCGGGGAAGAAAAUGACUGUACCCGAAUAAGAAGGUCCGGCUAACUUCGUGCCAGCAGCCGCGGUAAUACGAAGGGACCUAGCGUAGUUCGGAAUUACUGGGCUUAAAGAGUUCGUAGGUGGUUGAAAAAGUUGGUGGUGAAAUCCCAGGGCUUAACUCUGGAACUGCCAUCAAAACUUUUCAGCUAGAGUAUGAUAGAGGAAAGCAGAAUUUCUAGUGUAGAGGUGAAAUUCGUAGAUAUUAGAAAGAAUACCAAUUGCGAAGGCAGCUUUCUGGAUCAUUACUGACACUGAGGAACGAAAGCAUGGGUAGCGAAGAGGAUUAGAUACCCUCGUAGUCCAUGCCGUAAACGAUGUGUGUUAGACGUUGGAAAUUUAUUUUCAGUGUCGCAGCGAAAGCGAUAAACACACCGCCUGGGGAGUACGACCGCAAGGUUAAAACUCAAAUGAAUUGACGGGGACCCGCACAAGUAGUGGAGCAUGUGGUUUAAUUCGAAGAUACGCGCAGAACCUUACCAACACUUGACAUGUUCGUCGCGACUUUGAGAGAUCAAAGUUUUCGGUUCGGCCGGACGAAACACAGGUGCUGCAUGGCUGUCGUCAGCUCGUGUCGUGAGAUGUUGGGUUAAGUCCCGCAACGAGCGCAACCCUCACUUUUAGUUGCCAUCAUUAAGUUGGGCACUCUGAAAGAACUGCCAGUGAUAAGCUGGAGGAAGGUGGGGAUGACGUCAAGUCCUCAUGGCCCUUACGUGUUGGGCUACACACGUGCUACAAUGGUAUCUACAACAGGAAGCAAGACUGCGAAGUUAAGCAAAUCCUUAAAAGAUACCUCAGUUCGGAUUGCACUCUGCAACUCGAGUGCAUGAAGCUGGAAUUACUAGUAAUCGUGGAUCAGCGUGCCACGGUGAAUGCGU
rnacentral:rRNA from 1 species